CACAGAAAACCAAGAACCAUUAAAACACAGACGAGCACAGAGUCAGUCAUUCAAACACAAGACGAGUGCAGAGGAAGAAGGGAGUAAAAUAUAUAAUUCUAAACUAGGUGUUUCGAGCACUGAAUGCUGAUUGGCUAACAACUGUGGUAUAUCCGACUAUAUACUACGGGUAUGACAAAACAUUUAUUUUUACUGCUAUAAUUACAUUGGUAACCAGUUUAUAACAGCAAUAAGGCACCUCAGUGGAUUGUGGUAUAUGGCCAAUAUACCACGGCUAAGGGCUGUAUCCAAGCACUCUGUGUUGCAUCGUGUGUAAGAACAGCCCUUAGCCUGUUGUAAAUUGGCCAUAUAUCACACCCCAUCGUGCCUUAUUGCUGAAAUAAACACAGUCAGUAGAACAGGUGCAUGGAUAAUGAACUCGUAGAACAGGUGCAUGGAUACUGAACUAGUAGAACAGGUGCAUGGAUACUGAACUAGUAGAACAGGUGCAUGGAUACUGAACUAGUAGAACAGGUGCAUGGAUAAUGAACUAGUAGAACAGGUGCAUGGAUACUGAACUAGUAGAACAGGUGCAUAGAUACUGAACUAGUAGAACAGGUGCAUGGAUACUGAACUAGUAGAACAGGUGCAUGGAUACUGAACUAGUAGAACAGGUGCAUGGAUAAUGAACUAGUAGAACAGGUGCAUGGAUACUGAACUAGUAGAACAGGUGCAUAGAUACUGAACUAGUAGAACAGGUGCAUGGAUACUGAACUAGUAGAACAGGUGCAUGGAUACUGAACUAGUAGAACAGGUGCAUGGAUACUGAACUAGUAGAACAGGUGCAUGGAUACUGAACUAGUAGAACAGGUGCAUGGAUACUGAACUAGUAGAACAGGUGCAUGGAUACUGAACUAGUAGAACAGGUGCAUGGAUACUGAACUAGUAGAACAGGUGCAUGGAUACUGAACUAGUAGAACAGGUGCAUGGAUACUGAACUAGUAGAACAGGUGCAUGGAUACUGAACUAGUAGAACAGGUGCAUGGAUACUGAACUAGUAGAACAGGUGCAUGGAUACUGAACUAGUAGAACAGGUGCAUGGAUACUGAACUAGUAGAACAGGUGCAUGGAUACUGAACUAGUAGAACAGGUGCAUGGAUACUGAACUAGUAUAACAGGUGCAUGGAUAAUGAACUAGUAGAACAGGUGCAUGGAUACUGAACUAGUAGAACAGGUGCAUGGAUAAUGAACUAGUAGAACAGGUGCAUGGAUAAUGAACUAGUAGAACAGGUGCAUGGAUACUGAACUAGUAGAAAAGGUGCAUGGUUAAUGACCUAGAAGGGAGAAUGGGGUAGUACUGAACGCAGGGCUAUACCCUUACGCAUGUGGGAAUUUUAGUAGAGUACUCUAAAGUAAGAAACAGACACCCUGUCAUCGCAAAGACAAAACGACCCUGUCGACAACUGUCUUCCUGUCAGCUCUCUCUCUCUAUCUCUCUCCCCCUCUCUCCCUCUUUGUGGUUUGUGUCUGUGGAACUCAGUAUGUAGUUCAGUGGUUUCUACAGAAGCUGUGUCGUGACAAAUUGAGCCUUUGGUGGUGUAACUGCUUUUGGGGGGGGACAUUUAGUUGUGCCCAUCUGGUGAUCAUCUGCAUCAAGGACAAAUUCAGUAUUGAGUCCACACACUGCUCAGGAGCAACGUUGUCUCAGAAUAAUCACUCACCACUUCCACUUCAGUUCUCAUUCACCAACAGGUGUUACUGUCUCUCAUCUGUCUCUCUGUCUUUCUGGUAACUUUGAAAUUAACAAAGAUUUCAUGUUCUACACAGAGCAAAAAUAGAUGUGUAGAAACGUAGCCACUCAAUAACCCACACGAACAGAUAGCACAGAGCAAUAGAGCUCCUGGAACCUUCUCUCUCUGCUGACCAGGGGAAGGACACUUUUCAUACCAGGGCAGAGCGCCUCUGUAUCACAGGAGGUUGGUGAUGGGAGGACGGCUCAUAAUAAUGGAUGGAAUGGAAUGAAUGGAAUGGUAUAAAACACUUGGAAACCAUGGAAACUGUGGAUUUGAUGUGUUUGAUACCAUUCCAUUCAGUAGUGGUGUGGGGUAAAAUCACUGGGGAAGCUAAGCCAGAAAAAAGGUGUGAGGGAAAAUUGUAUUGUCUGAAGAGAUAGCCUUGAAUUGUACACAGCAUCUCCUCUCACUUUAUCUUGGUUCAUGCCAUUAUAAUCAUUGGCCAGUAAGGAGAAUUAAGUAAAACCACAAGUCCAUAAUUGAUAAUUUAGGAAAGGGACAAUUUUAGGUAGCUGGCUAGCUACUGGAGGACAACAACACAACACGAGUUUCUGUUAGUGACGUAUGCUCUUGAUGCGAUGUGAUUGGAGUGAAGACAAACUGGAUUCUCUUGCCCUCAAUGAUACGGGCGGCAACGAUGUCAUACUAUUUUAGACCAGACAGCAUCAGAUAGAUGGGCUACACAUACAGAGACAGAGGGGCGCUGUUUUGCUCGCUCGGAUGCUUUCUCUGGUGAGAUACAUUCAGCCUCUUGUGAAUUGAAAUACUUUUUUGGAGUAGCCUGGCUUCCCUUGGCAUCCAUGAACACACACCACUGAUUCUAUCUAUUCCGUACCAGUCAUUACUAUGAGCCCGUCCUCCCAAAUUAAGGUGCCUCCAGCCACCCGUGCUCUGGGUAGGAAACUAGGUGAAGGAGGUGACGGUGGGAGAGUAAAUAUCUAGCGCGUUGGACAGAAAAUAAUCCACUGUAGUACAGGAAUCUUACUAUCUGGCCACACUAAAAAGUACAGAAGUCAAAACUUCCUAACCAAACAGACACUUUAACAAACUUGCCCUAACCUUUCCCUAACCUUAACCUUGACACCAAAUUCAGGUCAAACACCUCCGUUUUGAUGGUAUUGCCAUUUCUGUCCAUUCCACCAUGGCUAGUACGUGACUCCCAUGGUACA